AGGGAGUCCAGGAGUUCCUGGGAAGCCACGGGCACCCUGUAGAAGAAAGAGCAAUGAAGCUCCUUACUGAGGCAGAAACCAGAAAUAAUCCGAAAAUGCUCUGGUGUAUUUGAGAUUGACCAAAGGAUCUUUUCACCGAAUAUCAUCGUCCGCUUGGAGAUUUGGGAUCAGGCAAGAUGUUGCUCGGCUUUUUAUUGUCGGCCAUUUUGCAGAACUCUUCUUUUUCCACUGAGGUCUCCAGACUCUGAGAGAUCUGCUGGUGCUGUAUGUUGUUGGGUUCCAGAUGUGCUGAGCUCAGGCUUCUUGUGAUUGGCUGCACGCUCAACCCAGAUUUCUCCACAUCCAGAGGCAGAGCAGAGGAGGUACAUGGACCACAGUAGCCUCAUGUUAGAGUUUCUUCAC